GGGCGAAGUCAAGUAACCUUUGCCUUCUCAACCCUUAAGAGAAUGGGCGAAACCGAGUACCCCAACUCUCUUAUCUAUCCAGUAGAGGAGCUCUGCACAAGUUCAAAGACCCUUCGAAGAUAAUUGAAGACAAUAGUUGUCAAAUCCUCACCAACGGUGAUCAGUGCUACUGAGAGUAGAUUGUCCGCUUCAUUUCCCAACGAAAUGCCAAUCGAAAGCGGAAGUGAUGCGAACCUACUUGGAUGUGACAACUAACUGAAAGAAGAGUCAAUGAGCAGAUUUUGUGGAGGAAGGACCCAAAACUUCAGAAGUUUGCGAGGCGAUGCUCGCUAAAGCUCCAACAAGCAUCCACCCAGUUCAAGCAGCAUGUGAAAUUUUUGAGAGACUGGCGCAGUAAGGAUGGUCUUUUCCUUCAUUUGGUGGAUCCGCAGGAAUCAACGAAGAUCAACACAACUCAGCCAACCCCACACCAGAGUUAGAGUCAUUGGCGAGUUGAAGCAGCAUGGCGGAUCAAAGGUUCGACUACUCAAAAACAGCAGCGGAGAGCAGUUGGGAGCCAGGAGGCGC
rnacentral:lncRNA from 1 species